rnacentral:lncRNA from 1 species
GGGGCAACCUUGUCAGUCAGCACUCAAGUACUUUGCUCUGUUCUUGACCAGCCCAUGCAAUUCUCAUUGCCCUCAAGUAUCAGAUUUAGACCAGAGCUGCAUAAGAGCAAAAUAAACUUCAAAGACCACCACCAUAGCUAUGACUGAUUUCUCAUUCAUCCGUAAAAUGGUGACAUUCAGCUCAGCUGACUGGGAAACUCAGUCAUCUGAUGUCUGACAGCAGUACUUUCUCCCAAACUUCCAGAAGACUGCACACCCCUCACUUACUGCCCUACUGAAGGAAGCAUCAAAGAGCAAAUGUGCAGGCUCCAACAACUAUUGCCCUAGCUGCUUCUGAGGAGAAGAAACAGCAGCUCUGUGAAGGGACACCGAGCAGGCGUCAGCAGUGGAUGUGGCUGGAAGAGCCCAAAGGAAGGGACAUGAAGUGCCUAGUCACAGAAAUUUGUGCCAACAAGUACCUGUUUCAAUGACAGCUCCUCCAGGAAACUUUUCUCGGUUUAUGGUGGGGGGGUGAAGAAAUAUCUGUUCAAUUCUACAGUGUGAGUUUAAUUUAUAGUAACCAAAAACACACCAAAAAGUGAGUCCUUAGCACUCCAGUG